rnacentral:rRNA from 1 species
AGAUUUGAUCCUGGCUCAGAUUGAACGCUGGCGGCGUGCCUAACACAUGCAAGUCGAACGAGAAAGUGGAGCAAUCCAUGAGUACAGUGGCGACCGGGUGAGUAACACGUGACCAACCUGCCCUCGAGUGGGGAAUAACUCCGGGAAACCGGAGCUAAUACCGCAUAACAUCGCAAGAUCAAAGCCGCAAGGCGCUUGAG